rnacentral:rRNA from 1 species
AGCGAACGCUGGCGGCAUGCUUAACACAUGCAAGUCGCACGGGCAGGGGCAACUCUGUCAGUGGCGGACGGGUGAGUAACGCGUAGGUAUCUAUCCUUGGGUGGGGGACAACCGUGGGAAACUACGGCUAAUACCGCAUGAUGACUGAGGUCCAAAGCUCGCGAGAGCGCCUGGGGAGGAGCCUGCGUACGAUUAGCUUGUUGGUGGGGUAAAGGCCUACCAAGGCUAUGAUCGUUAGCUGGUCUGAGAGGAUGAUCAGCCACAUUGGGACUGAGACACGGCCCAAACUCCUACGGGAGGCAGCAGUGGGGAAUAUUGGACAAUGGGCGCAAGCCUGAUCCAGCAAUGCCGCGUGUGUGAAGAAGGUCUUCGGAUUGUAAAGCACUUUCGACGGGGACGAUGA